CAUCAAAUAAAGUUCAUCCCAAAAUUUUGAUUAUCCGUACGAUUUUCCCGAUUUCAUUUUGGGAUCUAUGAACGAAUUCAAAAACGAUAUCAAUGGAAGAAACGUGGAUUAGGGAAGGACAAUUCCCAGGCUGCGAAGAUAUUUAUUGUGAUGAUGAUUGAACAUUCAAGUUUUCCGUAUCAUGUAAUGUUAGCAUUUGACGAAAGACGAGAAUUUCUAGUCCGCCUAAGUCGUCAAUUACCAUUCAAGGAAAGAUGGCGUUCUUGUAUUAUAUGGCUGAAUAAGGGAGUCCGUACGGUAUUGUUCGUUCAUCACAGACGAGGAAAGUAGGCAGUUAGAAUUAGUUUUGUUUCGUGGAAGAUACGGAGCUUCACAUAAUUUUCAAGGUGUGCUGCUAAACAACCCACCCAUAUUAAAAGUCCAGAAUUGAGGGCAAAACCGUCCCGUUAACAUCAACAGUUUGCGAAAGAUCUUGAGACAACCAGCGAAACAGGAGAGUUUUCCUAGUAAUGCUUGGAAAGAGGUUAAGAAGAAAAAAAUGAUGAAAGAGAGAGAGGAAGAUGUGAGAGAGAAGAUACACAGUUGAGAAAAGGAGGUAUUGAUUGAAGCAGUUUAUGUGGUCAUACACAUUGAUAGGCAAUAAAUGACUAAACUACUGAGUUUACUUUUUGUCUUUGGCUUUUUCAUUUUUUUUCUACUCUCAACGUCACUACUUGCUUCAGAUUCCCUCUAUUUGUUACUAUUUCUUUCUUUCAUUCA